ensembl:lncRNA
UGAUGAGAUCAUCUAUUCUUAUUUUCUGUAUUUCUACGUUUCUGUCUUCCAGCUGAGCUUUCAACCAUGUUUAGCUGCUCAGGUUCCAACAGAUAUUAAAGAAGAGUCUCUAGCACCUUGGCAGGUCUCUUUAAAGCCAGCCGCUCUGCAGAAACAUUACUCGUCCUCAUCAACUACUCGUACCUCUACAGCUGCAGCACCAGUUCUGGCUGUCGACAAAGACAAGAUGCUGCGGGAAAAAGAUAAGCAGAUAGAGGAGCUGACCAGGAUGCUGGAGCGGAAACAGAAGCUGGUGGAGGUGCUGAAGAUGCAGUUAGAGCGUGGGAAGAGGGGAGAACAAGGUCAAGAUCCAGAGGUUGUUGUAAGAGUUAAACAAGAACCUCCAGAUGAGCACUGCGUGCCUCCCUCAUAUGACCCGCUUACACUUCCCCUUUCAUCAUCACCCACUUCAUGCAAGAUGGAUGUUACCAAGGUUACUGUCAAACAGGAACCAGCUGAGGAAGCUGUGUCUGAGACAACUUUGCAAUCACCAGGACGUGAUCAUCGUUUUUUGUCACAGGAGGUGCAGAGGCAGAUUCUGCUGCAAAUCAAGCCGGAGCACACAAGUGCAACGACCAAAGACGAGCAACAUGUUUGUUUCCAGCACAACAUUCAGAACCAGCAGCUACAGCUGAAGCAACAAACGGCGCCGUUAAAGCAGCAAAUGAAACGGCAGCAGCCGAGUAAACAACAACAAAAAAUCCAGAUACAGAUCAAUCUGAAGCAGCAACAGGUGCUAAUAGAGAAAACCCCACAGAUGAAGCAUCAGUCACCACAGUUACAGAAACAGCCUGGCUCACCUCCCUCUUUCCCACUGGAUCUCCUUAAGACUGACUCCAACAAUAACCACUUCCCUAUUGCACUGACCAAUCGUGUCACUGACAGUCAAAGAGCCAACACACCUGAGGCAACGAAUGACAUCACACUGCAGAAUGGGAGGUUUCAGGCACCUGUAGACCAGCAGCAGGGAGCAGCUCAGAGCUUUGAGUCUGCACCUCCCAGUCUGAGGCGUCUCUUGAAGGACCAGGAGACUAUGCCUUCAGGGAAAAACACCAUAUCCUCUCAAACUGUAAGUAAUCCUUCAAGGUGACCUGUAUGAUUUAGUCACAUUAUAAAAGAUGGGAUUAUAACUUUGGACAAAACUACAACUUUCCUAAUAUUUGACUCUGGAAACUUUAGUUCUGCUUCUCUCAUUUCGAUCUUCUCUGUUUUAGGAGGUCUGCUCGAGCCUCGAUGUCUUGUUCAGUCCUCUGUCCCCAGCUUCCCCAUCAUCUGAUAACAAAGUAUGAUGCACAGGAUGUCCCCUUGUCUUCACACAUUUUUAUUAAGACCUUUACACAAAAUUAAUUGUUCAUGAUGCCAAAUAUUUGCCCAUGGGGGCGUCUCUUUUACUAUUGUAGUAAAGUAUUCAUCAUAUAUUUAGUAAUGAUGUCAUGUCACAGGAAUUGUUCAUGUUACACGACAUGUUAUACAGUUAUAAAGGUAAUGUGUUGCUGUUCGUGUGUGUGUGUGUGUGUGUGUGUCUCCUCAGGGUACAGAAGAUGAUUUUAUUGACAUGAUUUUGCAGACAGGAGGUAAGAUGCAAUAACAAUGUCUGACCGUUUUGUUCUCAUAAUUUAUAACACUGGGAUCGAGCCCCCACCAUAAUGCUGUCAUUUUCAGGUUUCAGGUUUAUUUUUAACACAGGCUUCUUUUGCUUACAGAAAUGCCAACCAAAUCUACACCAGCACCAGACCUGUCUGUGGACUGUCUCUUUCCGAACUCCCCUGCCUUGUCUCCAUCCAUCACACCCAGCUGUGACAGCGCACAUCCAGCCCUUAUAAUGCAGUCUGAGCUCGAGAGACUUGUUGACACCACAGAGGAGAAACAACACUGCGCUAACGCUGGAAGUGGACGCCUGGAAGACUUCCUGGAAAGCACCACCGGAAUGCCUCUCCUGGGGGUGGAGCAUGGUGGCCUGUUGGCUUUGAUCGAUGACCUCCACAACCAAAUGCUGUGCAGCCCCAGCAUCCUAGACCAUCCGCCAUCUCCCAUGGACACCUUCGACCGGGUAGCCGACGUGCAGCAAGGGCUGGACAUUAAUGAUUGGUUGGACCUCACUGUGGUAGGAGAGACAGAAGAGGAGACACCCCCAUCGGGCCCCCAAACACCCUGUGGUAUCUUUUCGACAGACUUUUUGGAAAGUUGUCUGAUACUGUAAGAUAAGAACGUUUCAACGCUGCUGCACAUCAUGUUAAAGAGUCUGAUUUGUAUAUUUGUAACAUUAACAUGUAUGAGGAAACAGUGUUUACAGUCACUCCUGACAAGCUGCAUCACUAUUAUUGUUAUAACACAUAAUUAUAAAACUGCUGUUGUAUACAGCAAUUAAAUAUUUUUACUGUGAAAUAUUAAAAUAAUAAAAACAACAGAUUUCUUUUAUCCUUCCUUUAUCUGUCAUCCUGGAACAGCUCGGUUAUUGAUUAAAAUAACAACCCAACUUCGCCCCAGCAAAUGUGAAAUUAAAAUACUGUAAACUGCAACUGACAACUUGUUUUGAAAUGUUUUCUCAGAUGGUUUCUUCCUGUGUUUAAAUUGAUUUACUGAAUGUGUUAAGCAGUGAUACACGAUGCUGUGAAUCCUGCAGAUAAAUGCAUAGAAAAUGAAGAAGGAAAUGAACUUUAUAGAUCCUGAGCUCUUGAUUUAGUAGAAUAUCUUUUCACAGGGAUUUUUUUUUGUCAUUUUGUUGUUUCUGCCUUGUACUGUAUCAGUACUUUUGUCAAUGGGAGAAAGACAUCUUAUUUAAAUCAUUUCCCACUUUGAGAUUUCACAGUUUUUUCCUAUUGUAUAACAGGUUUGUAUAGUUUGUCUAUCUUUGGCUGCUUGUGCGUUCUAGGCUAAUUUUGUCUCUGAAAAAGUUACAUACAUACAUGCACAUUAUUUUGGUAUUUUAGCAUCAGCAACCGAGUAU